rnacentral:rRNA from 1 species
GGGACACGUGGUAUCCUGUCUGAAUAUGGGGGGACCAUCCUCCAAGGCUAAAUACUCCUGACUGACCGAUAGUGAACCAGUACCGUGAGGGAAAGGCGAAAAGAACCCCGGCGAGGGGAGUGAAAAAGAACCUGAAACCGUGUACGUACAAGCAGUGGGAGCCUCUUUAUGGGGUGACUGCGUACCUUUUGUAUAAUGGGUCAGCGACUUAUAUUCUGUAGCAAGGUUAACCGAAUAGGGGAGCCGAAGGGAAACCGAGUCUUAACUGGGCGUUAAGUUGCAGGGUAUAGACCCGAAACCCGGUGAUCUAGCCAUGGGCAGGUUGAAGGUUGGGUAACACUAACUGGAGGACCGAACCGACUAAUGUUGAAAAAUUAGCGGAUGACUUGUGGCUGGGGGUGAAAGGCCAAUCAAACCGGGAGAUAGCUGGUUCUCCCCGAAAGCUAUUUAGGUAGCGCCUCGUGAAUUCAUCUCCGGGGGUAGAGCACUGUUUCGGCAAGGGGGUCAUCCCGACUUACCAACCCGAUGCAAACUGCGAAUACCGGAGAAUGUUAUCACGGG